rnacentral:rRNA from 1 species
UACGUAGGGUGCGAGCGUUAAUCGGAAUUACUGGGCGUAAAGCGUGCGCAGGCGGUUCGCGAUGUCUGAUGUGAAAGCCCCGGGCUCAACCUGGGAAUGGCAUUGGAAACUAGCGGGCUGGAGUGUGGCAGAGGGGGGUGGAAUUCCACGUGUAGCAGUGAAAUGCGUAGAGAUGUGGAGGAACACCGAUGGCGAAGGCAGCCCCCUGGGCUAACACUGACGCUCAUGCACGAAAGCGUGGGGAGCAAACAGG